rnacentral:lncRNA from 1 species
UUUCAAUUUUUGCAAUAUUGAGAAUAAUCCGUUUAACUCGUAUAAACAAUUUCAAUGUAAAUUUUUAUGCCCCACCUACGAUAGUAGAGGGGCAUUAUGUUUUCUGGUCUGUGCGUCCGUUCGUCCGUCCGUCUGUUCGUUCGUUCGUUCGUUCGUCCGUCUGUCCCGCUUCAGGUUAAAGUUUUUGGUCAAGGUAGUUUUUGAUGAAGUUGAAGUCCAAUCAACUUGAAACUUAGUAUACAUGUGCCCUAUGAUAAGAUCUUUCUAAUUUAAAUGCCAAAUUAUAGUUUUGACUCCAAUUUUACGGUUCACUGAACAUAGAAAAUGAUAGUGCAAAUUUCAGGUUAAAGUUUUUGGUCAAGGUAGUUUUUGAUGAAGUUGAAGUCCAAUCAACUUGAAACUUAGUAUACAUGUGCCCUAUGACAUGAUCUUUCUAAUUUAAAUGCCAAAUUAUAGUUUUGACCCCAAUUUUACAGUUCACUGAACAUAGAAAAUGAUAGUGCAAAUUUCAGGUUAAAGUUUUUGGUCAAGGUAGUUUUUGAUAAAGUAGAAGUCCAAUCAACUUGAAACUUAGUAUACAUGUUCCCUUUGAUAAGAUCAUUCUAAUUGUAAUGCCAAAUUAGAG